rnacentral:tRNA from 1 species
GCACCGAUAGUGUAAUGGCGUAGAUCAUUUCUGCCCACCCAGCAGGAGGUGCGGGUUCGAGUCCCGCCUGGCGCU